rnacentral:lncRNA from 1 species
UCGGGCAAGUCUUGUCGGGCAAGACUCUUCGGGCAAGGCUGAAAGAGAAGGACAGAGUUAACUUUGAGAGGUGCCUUUGUGGGGCCUUAGGUGUAGGCCUUGAUGCUCACAAUCAAGGUUAACUUUUAGGUACUCAGGCGUGCCACUGCCAUCUUCAGCAUGGCAGAUGUAAAAUGGAUGUCGAGUUUUAGUUGUAUAUAUGUAUAUAUCCGAGAAACCGUGUUAGUUAUAACAGGUGCCUUUGUGGGGCCUUAGGUGUAGGCCUUGAGGCUUCCCAUAAAUAACUAAACCAGUGCUCGAACACAUCAUAUUUGUUCUCGUGAUUGCAG